rnacentral:tRNA from 1 species
GGGAGUAUAGCUCAGUGGUAGAGCACUUAUUUAGCAUGCAUGAGGUCCUGGUUCAAUCCCCAGCACCUCUA